rnacentral:lncRNA from 1 species
AAUUUUUUUUUAGAAGAAAACAUUGGAGAAAUGUUUAAUGACAUUGGAUUUGGCAAUGAUUUCUUGGUUACGACACCAAAAGCCCGGUAACAACAACAAACACAGACAAAUUCAACUUCAUUAAAAUUAAAAAACCUUUGUGCAUCCAAGGACCUCAUCAACAGGCAGCCCACACAAUUGGAGAAAAUAUUUGCAAAUCCAAAUCUGAUAAGGGAUUAAUAUUCAGGACAUGCACUCAGCAAUCCUCUAACUCAACAUCCAAAGAAGGGAGAAGGAUUUGAGUAGACAUCUCUCUCAAGAGGAUAUGCAAAGAGAUCAUAAGCACAGCAAAAAAUAAUCAGCAACAUUAAUCAUUAGGGAAAUGCAAACCAAAGCCCCUUCACACCCAUUAGGAUGGCUAUUAUCAAAAAACCCAGAGAAGUGUUUGCAAGGAUGUAGAGAAAUGGGAGCUCUGUGGGAAUGAAGACAGGUGUAGUGACUGUGGAAAAUAGUGUGGAAGUUCCUUUAAAAAUCAAGCAUAAGGGGCUGGGGAUGUGGCUCAAGUGGUAGCACGCUCACCUAGCAUGCGUGAGGCACUGGGUUCGAUUCUCAGCACCACAUUAAAAAAAUGAACAAAAUAAAGAAAAUACAUAUAAAAAAAUCAAGCAUAAAAUUACCUUCUGUUCCAGAAAUUCCACUUCGAGGUAUCUACACAAAAGAAAUGGAGGUAGGGGCUUCAGUGUUCAUAACAGGAUUAUUCACAUUAGCCUUUGGAAGCCCAAAUGUUCAUCGACAGAUAAAUAGAUAAAUAAAAUGGGGUGUAUACAUACAGUGGAAUAUUAUUCAGAAUAUUAUCUGAUACACGCUCCAACAUGGAUGAGCCUUGAAAAUAUGCUGAGUAAAAACUUGGAAUGGAACCACCAUUUGAUCCAGUUAUCCCACUUCUCAGUUUAUACACAAAGGACUUAAAAUUAGCAUACUACAGUGACACAGCCACAUCAAUGUUUAUACAGCUUAAUUCACAAUAGCUAAGCUAUGGAACCAACCUAUGUGCCCUUCAACAAAUGAAUGGAUAAAGAAAUUGUGGUAUAUACACAAUGGAAUAUUAUCAGCCAUAAAGAAGAAAGAAGAAUGAAAUUAUGGUAUUUGUAGGUAAAUGGAUGGAACUGGAGACUAUUGUGCUAAGUAAAAUAAUCCAAUCCCCAAAUUCCAAAGGCUGAAUGUUCUCUCUGAUAAGCCGAUGCUUUCUUACAAUAG